AAGAAUAUUAUGUUUUCUCCUGUUGUUGAAGAAAUGACAAAUUGAUUUCGAGGAAUGCUGUUGGUUUUGGCUCAGUUUCAGAGAGAACUUCCAAAGGGAAGGAAAUCCUUCAAGGAGAAGUGGAAGAGGAUGGAAGCUGGGUCCUUCUUCCCAUUUCCACAUCCAGAGGUGUCCUUGCUCCGGGAUCUGCAGGGGACAAACCCCAGGGAGGGGGAGAGCUGAGCUCCACCUGCACGACAGGAUCCUUGCUGAAGUUGGUAAAUCAGGCAGCCAUACCUUCUUCCCCAGCCCAGAAUCCAGGAGAAUUGACAUUGAACAUCGUGCCUGGCAUUAAAGGGACACUAACUGUGCUCCUGGAGGUCUCACCUGGGAACAGAAAGUUUAAAUUGGCUGGUAAGUAGUGAUUCAUUCUCAAAAAAAAAAAAACAAACCAUACUUUUCUUAAUUCAACCCUUGGAAUUUUUGGUUAAUAUCUGACUCUCUGGUCUGAUCCAUCUCCAAUUCAUCCUUUCUUGUCAAGCUAGUUUUAAUAAUUGUAACACCCUCAGCUGUUUUGUUUAGGUAAUAGAGAACAAUUCAGCCUGAAGAAAAUUAAUUUUCCUGUUUCACGUGGUUUUGGGUUCUUUUUCUUUUUCUUUUUUUUUUUUUUUUUGGGGGGGGGGGGGGGGGGGGGGUUUUUUUUCUUUUUCUUUUUUUUUUUUUUUUUUCUUGUAGUUUUCUAAUGAAUUCUAGAAAAUAGCAGUGAAAAUAGGGAAGUCUGAAGUAAACAUUGAUUUUUACAGUGCAAUAAUUUAUGGUACCAACUUAAUAAGCGGUGUGACAGCAGCAGCUCACCCCCCAUUUAUCAUGCAUUGAUAGUUUGAUUCCAGAACUUUUAACACCACUGCUCGCUGUGACAUAAUAAAGGACCUGCCAACAUUCCCAUUAGAACCACGAGAUUUUAGGAGUUCUGCUUCAGCUAUAAAUAUCAGGAUUUGGAAUCUAUGAAUUAUUUUGCAGAGUAACAACCUCGGAAUGACUUGUCCCAGCAACUGGGAAGAAAUAAGAGUUUUUUGAACUUCAGGGGGACAUCUCCCUGUGUUCAGAAGAAGAGGCUCGGGGUUGCUCAGGCUGUGUCCACCAUCACAAGUUUCCCAGCUCAGAGCUCAGAUAGUUCAGAAGAAGAGGCUCGGGGAUGCUCAGGCUGUGUCCACCAUCACAAGUUUCCCAGCUCAGAGCUCAGAUAAAUCACUUUAAUUCCACAGGCAGCAAGGAGGAGGCAGCAGUGUCCAUCAGCAGGUUCUGAUGAGAGCUGGCUGGAGGGGAGCUGGCUCCACCCGUGCUCCCUUCCAUCCCAUCUGGAAAAUCCAGACGUUCCUCUCACCUUCCAGGUUUGUUGGUUCAGGAGCUUCUAAAAAAAAUAGAUGCAAAGACAACAGAACUCGUGGGUAGUGGGAUAACAAUGGAAAAUAAGUGAACUGGUGAGCUCAAUUCUAUUUAUACCCCCAUGUCUAAAGAGCUGUAAGAAAAAGGGUGUGUGGUUAUGUUUGUCCUAGCUUAGGUUGCAGGGAUUUAAUGUACAUUCUAUAAGUCAUUAAAUAAUUUUGUUGGGGCAUCUGAUCUCCAUGUUGAUACUUUAUUACCAGAGAUCACUUGGAGACAGGAAAGGGACUUAUGGAAUUGGAAAACAAUUUACAGUUUGUUGGGUUUUUUUUUCAGUAACUAGCUCAUUUUAAACCCCAUUUUUAGCAAGAAAUAAUGACUUGCUUUAUUUAGAGACUAUUUAAAAUGCUCUCGAGGUAUCUACUGAAUAUCUUGACAUCACAGAUAAAUCAGGAGCAGACUCAAAAUUAGCCCUGCACUGCUCUAUAUUACAAUGUGUUCUAUAUUACAGUUC
ensembl:lncRNA